GUGGGUGACAUUUUCGUCUGUUUUUGCUUUCUUCCUUGUUGGAUCUUGAUUUGUUUUCUUUCUUUUUCUGUUUUUCGAUAAAACGGAAGGAGAAGAGGGAGAAGAGGAGGGAGAAAGAGGAGGAGGAGGAGUAAAAGUUGAAGUUUUUGAUUUUUUUUUUUGGGGGGAGUCUUUUUUUUU
rnacentral:ribozyme from 13 species